rnacentral:rRNA from 1 species
GACGAACGCUGGCGGCGUGCCUAAUACAUGCAAGUCGAACGCUUUUUCUUUCACCGGAGCUUGCUCCACCGAAGGAAAAAGAGGAGCAAACGGGUGAGUAACACGUGGGUAACCUACCUAUAAUCGGGGGAUACCAUUCGGAAACGGGUGCUAAUAACGCAUAAUAUAUUCUUCCGCAUGGAAGAAGAUUGAACGACGGCUCUACUGUCACUUAUAGAUGACCUUGCGGGGCAUCAUGUAGUUGGUGGGGUAAGGGCCUACCAAGACGAUGAUGCAUAUCCGACCUGAGAGGGUGAUCGGCCACAUUGGGACUGAGACACGGCCCAAACUCCUACGGGAGGCAGAAGUAGGGAAUCUUCCGCAAUGGGCGAAAGCCUGACGGAGCAAUGCCGCGUGAGUGAAGAAGGCCUUCGGGUCGUAAAACUCUGUUAUAAGAGAAGAACAAAUUGUAGAGUAACUGCUACAGUCUUGACGGUAUCUUAUCAGAAAGCCACGGCUAACUACGUGCCAGCCGCCGCAGUAA